rnacentral:rRNA from 1 species
GACGAACGCUGGCGGCGUGCUUAACACAUGCAAGUCGAACGGAAAGGCCCUGCUUUUGUGGGGUGCUCGAGUGGCGAACGGGUGAGUAACACGUGAGUAACCUGCCCUUGACUUUGGGAUAACUUCAGGAAACUGGGGCUAAUACCGGAUAGGAGCUCCUGCUGCAUGGUGGGGGUUGGAAAGUUUCGGCGGUUGGGGAUGGACUCGCGGCUUAUCAGCUUGUUGGUGGGGUAGUGGCUUACCAAGGCUUUGACGGGUAGCCGGCCUGAGAGGGUGACCGGCCACAUGGGUUCUGCGAUACGGCCCAGACUCCUACGGGAGGCAGCAGUGUGAAAUAUUGCCCAAUGGGCGGAAGCCUGAUGCAGCAACGCCGCGUGCGGGAUGACGGCCUUCGGGUUGUAAACCGCUUUCGCCUGUGACGAAGCGUGAGUGACGGUAAUGGGUAAAGAAGCACCGGCUAACUACGUG